rnacentral:rRNA from 1 species
UAAGCGACUAAGCGUACACGGUGGAUGCCCUGGCAGUCAGAGGCGAUGAAGGACGUGCUAAUCUGCGAUAAGCGUCGGUAAGGUGAUAUGAACCGUUAUAACCGGCGAUUUCCGAAUGGGGAAACCCAGUGUGUUUCGACACACUAUCAUUAACUGAAUCCAUAGGUUAAUGAGGCGAACCGGGGGAACUGAAACAUCUAAGUACCCCGAGGAAAAGAAAUCAACCGAGAUUCCCCCAGUAGCGGCGAGCGAACGGGGAGCAGCCCAGAGCCUGAAUCAGUGUGUGUGUUAGUGGAAGCGUCUGGAAAGGCGCGCGAUACAGGGUGACAGCCCCGUACACAAAAAUGCACAUGCUGUGAGCUCGAUGAGUAGGGCGGGACACGUGGUAUCCUGUCUGAAUAUGGGGGGACCAUCCUCCAAGGCUAAAUACUCCUGACUGACCGAUAGUGAACCAGUACCGUGAGGGAAAGGCGAAAAGAACCCCGGCGAGGGGAGUGAAAAAGAACCUGAAACCGUGUACGUACAAGCAGUGGGAGCACGCUUAGGCGUGUGACUGCGUACCUUUUGUAUAAUGGGUCAGCGACUUAUAUUCUGUAGCAAGGUUAACCGAAUAGGGGAGCCGAAGGGAAACCGAGUCUUAACUGGGCGUUAAGUUGCAGGGUAUAGACCCGAAACCCGGUGAUCUAGCCAUGGGCAGGUUGAAGGUUGGGUAACACUAACUGGAGGACCGAACCGACUAAUGUUGAAAAAUUAGCGGAUGACUUGUGGCUGGGGGUGAAAGGCCAAUCAAACCGGGAGAUAGCUGGUUCUCCCCGAAAGCUAUUUAGGUAGCGCCUCGUGAAUUCAUCUCCGGGGGUAGAGCACUGUUUCGGCAAGGGGGUCAUCCCGACUUACCAACCCGAUGCAAACUGCGAAUACCGGAGAAUGUUAUCACGGGAGACACACGGCGGGUGCUAACGUCCGUCGUGAAGAGGGAAACAACCCAGACCGCCAGCUAAGGUCCCAAAGUCAUGGUUAAGUGGGAAACGAUGUGGGAAGGCCCAGACAGCCAGGAUGUUGGCUUAGAAGCAGCCAUCAUUUAAAGAAAGCGUAAUAGCUCACUGGUCGAGUCGGCCUGCGCGGAAGAUGUAACGGGGCUAAACCAUGCACCGAAGCUGCGGCAGCGACGCUGAUGCGUUGUUGGGUAGGGGAGCGUUCUGUAAGCCUGCGAAGGUGUGCUGUGAGGCAUGCUGGAGGUAUCAGAAGUGCGAAUGCUGACAUAAGUAACGAUAAAGCGGGUGAAAAGCCCGCUCGCCGGAAGACCAAGGGUUCCUGUCCAACGUUAAUCGGGGCAGGGUGAGUCGACCCCUAAGGCGAGGCCGAAAGGCGUAGUCGAUGGGAAACAGGUUAAUAUUCCUGUACUUGGUGUUACUGCGAAGGGGGGACGGAGAAGGCUAUGUUGGCCGGGCGACGGUUGUCCCGGUUUAAGCGUGUAGGCUGGUUUUCCAGGCAAAUCCGGAAAAUCAAGGCUGAGGCGUGAUGACGAGGCACUACGGUGCUGAAGCAACAAAUGCCCUGCUUCCAGGAAAAGCCUCUAAGCAUCAGGUAACAUCAAAUCGUACCCCAAACCGACACAGGUGGUCAGGUAGAGAAUACCAAGGCGCUUGAGAGAACUCGGGUGAAGGAACUAGGCAAAAUGGUGCCGUAACUUCGGGAGAAGGCACGCUGAUAUGUAGGUGAAGUCCCUCGCGGAUGGAGCUGAAAUCAGUCGAAGAUACCAGCUGGCUGCAACUGUUUAUUAAAAACACAGCACUGUGCAAACACGAAAGUGGACGUAUACGGUGUGACGCCUGCCCGGUGCCGGAAGGUUAAUUGAUGGGGUUAGCGCAAGCGAAGCUCUUGAUCGAAGCCCCGGUAAACGGCGGCCGUAACUAUAACGGUCCUAAGGUAGCGAAAUUCCUUGUCGGGUAAGUUCCGACCUGCACGAAUGGCGUAAUGAUGGCCAGGCUGUCUCCACCCGAGACUCAGUGAAAUUGAACUCGCUGUGAAGAUGCAGUGUACCCGCGGCAAGACGGAAAGACCCCGUGAACCUUUACUAUAGCUUGACACUGAACAUUGAGCCUUGAUGUGUAGGAUAGGUGGGAGGCUUAGAAGUGUGGACGCCAGUCUGCAUGGAGCCGACCUUGAAAUACCACCCUUUAAUGUUUGAUGUUCUAACGUUGACCCGUGAUCCGGGUUGCGGACAGUGUCUGGUGGGUAGUUUGACUGGGGCGGUCUCCUCCUAAAGAGUAACGGAGGAGCACGAAGGUUGGCUAAUCCUGGUCGGACAUCAGGAGGUUAGUGCAAUGGCAUAAGCCAGCUUGACUGCGAGCGUGACGGCGCGAGCAGGUGCGAAAGCAGGUCAUAGUGAUCCGGUGGUUCUGAAUGGAAGGGCCAUCGCUCAACGGAUAAAAGGUACUCCGGGGAUAACAGGCUGAUACCGCCCAAGAGUUCAUAUCGACGGCGGUGUUUGGCACCUCGAUGUCGGCUCAUCACAUCCUGGGGCUGAAGUAGGUCCCAAGGGUAUGGCUGUUCGCCAUUUAAAGUGGUACGCGAGCUGGGUUUAGAACGUCGUGAGACAGUUCGGUCCCUAUCUGCCGUGGGCGCUGGAGAACUGAGGGGGGCUGCUCCUAGUACGAGAGGACCGGAGUGGACGCAUCACUGGUGUUCGGGUUGUCAUGCCAAUGGCACUGCCCGGUAGCUAAAUGCGGAAGAGAUAAGUGCUGAAAGCAUCUAAGCACGAAACUUGCCCCGAGAUGAGUUCUCCCUGACUCCUUGAGAGUCCUGAAGGAACGUUGAAGACGACGACGUUGAUAGGCCGGGUGUGUAAGCGCAGCGAUGCGUUGAGCUAACCGGUACUAAUGAACCGUGAGGCUUAACCU